UGCAAGUCGAGCGGAUGAGAGGAGCUUGCUCUUCGAUUCAGCGGCGGACGGGUGAGUAAUGCCUAGGAAUCUGCCUGGUAGUGGGGGACAACGUUUCGAAAGGAACGCUAAUACCGCAUACGUCCUACGGGAGAAAGUGGGGGAUCUUCGGACCUCACGCUAUUAGAUGAGCCUAGGUCGGAUUAGCUAGUUGGUAGGGUAAAGGCCUACCAAGGCGACGAUCCGUAACUGGUCUGAGAGGAUGAUCAGUCACACUGGAACUGAGACACGGUCCAGACUCCUACGGGAGGCAGCAGUGGGGAAUAUUGGACAAUGGGCGAAAGCCUGAUCCAGCCAUGCCGCGUGUGUGAAGAAGGCCUUCGGGUCGUAAAGCACUUUAAGUUGGGAGGAAGGGCUCAUAGCGAAUACCUGUGAGUUUUGACGUUACCAACAGAAUAAGCACCGGCUAACUUCGUGCCAGCAGCCGCGGUAAUACGAAGGGUGCAAGCGUUAAUCGGAAUUACUGGGCGUAAAGCGCGCGUAGGUGGCUUGAUAAGUUGGAUGUGAAAUCCCCGGGCUCAACCUGGGAACUGCAUCCAAAACUGUCUGG
rnacentral:rRNA from 1 species